ensembl:snRNA U4 U4 spliceosomal RNA
AGCUUUGCGCAGUGGCAGUAUCGUAGCCAAUGAGGUUUAUCCGAGGCGCGAUUAUUGCUAAUUGAAAAAAAAAAACUGCUAUAAAUCAAUAA